rnacentral:rRNA from 2 species
AGAGUUUGAUCCUGGCUCAGGAUGAACGCUGGCGGCGUGCCUAAUACAUGCAAGUCGAGCGAACGGACGAGAAGCUUGCUUCUCUGAUGUUAGCGGCGGACGGGUGAGUAACACGUGGAUAACCUACCUAUAAGACUGGGAUAACUUCGGGAAACCGGAGCUAAUACCGGAUAAUAUUUUGAACCGCAUGGUUCAAAAGUGAAAGACGGUCUUGCUGUCACUUAUAGAUGGAUCCGCGCUGCAUUAGCUAGUUGGUAAGGUAACGGCUUACCAAGGCAACGAUGCAUAGCCGACCUGAGAGGGUGAUCGGCCACACUGGAACUGAGACACGGUCCAGACUCCUACGGGAGGCAGCAGUAGGGGAUCUUCCGCAAUGGGCGAAAGCCUGACGGAGCAACGCCGCGUGAGUGAUGAAGGUCUUCGGAUCGUAAAACUCUGUUAUUAGGGAAGAACAUAUGUGUAAGUAACUGUGCACAUCUUGACGGUACCUAAUCAGAAAGCCACGGCUAACUACGUGCCAGCAGCCGCGGUAAUACGUAGGUGGCAAGCGUUAUCCGGAAUUAUUGGGCGUAAAGCGCGCGUAGGCGGUUUUUUAAGUCUGAUGUGAAAGCCCACGGCUCAACCGUGGAGGGUCAUUGGAAACUGGAAAACUUGAGUGCAGAAGAGGAAAGUGGAAUUCCAUGUGUAGCGGUGAAAUGCGCAGAGAUAUGGAGGAACACCAGUGGCGAAGGCGACUUUCUGGUCUGUAACUGACGCUGAUGUGCGAAAGCGUGGGGAUCAAACAGGAUUAGAUACCCUGGUAGUCCACGCCGUAAACGAUGAGUGCUAAGUGUUAGGGGGUUUCCGCCCCUUAGUGCUGCAGCUAACGCAUUAAGCACUCCGCCUGGGGAGUACGACCGCAAGGUUGAAACUCAAAGGAAUUGACGGGGACCCGCACAAGCGGUGGAGCAUGUGGUUUAAUUCGAAGCAACGCGAAGAACCUUACCAAAUCUUGACAUCCUUUGACAACUCUAGAGAUAGAGC